rnacentral:rRNA from 1 species
UACGGAGGGGGCUAGCGUUGUUCGGAAUUACUGGGCGUAAAGCGCACGUAGGCGGCUUGGUAAGUUAGAGGUGAAAGCCUGGAGCUCAACUCCAGAAUUGCCUUUAAGACUGCCGAGCUAGCAGGUGAGAGAGGUGAGUGGAAUUCCGAGUGUGGAGGUGAAAUUCGUAGAUAUUCGGAAGAACACCAGUGGCGAAGGCGGCUCACUGGCUCAUACUGGACGCUGAGGUGCGAAAGCGUGGGGAGCAGACAGG